rnacentral:lncRNA from 1 species
GGCCUAAAAGAAGGGCAUCUUCCAUUCCUAGAGAUGUGCAGUUGAUCCUUGGAGAGAGAGUCUGGUAUGGCUGGCUUAGUAGGCAACCUAUGCUGAAUAGUAAAUAUUUUCCUUUCAAGAUGAUGCAAACAUUGUUUCCUCAUUGUAGUUUGCCUUUUUUCUUAAAUAUACUUUGAUACCAAAAAGAUUUAAAUUUUUGUGAGGCCAAAUCUCUCUCUUUUAUUUAUGGUUUUGAGGCUUUGCGCCUUGCACAGGAAAGCCAUUCUUCCUAGAGUAUCAUUAAAAGAGUCCCUUCUUGGGUGGCUGGGUGCAUGUACUGUAAAGAAGAGGUCCUUGUAACCAGGCUUUUUGAUUUUCAGUUAGGAAAUGUGCUCUCCCCACUUUGUCAGUAUACUUUGGAACUAGUUUUAUAGGUGCUUGGGCUGGGACAAUCAAAGAGGAGAGGAGGGGUUCUUGCAUGUUCUCGCAUUGUUCCUAUGCUUAGCCUCAUAGUACUUGACUUAGAAUUGUCUGGAGAUGGGGGCACAUCCAGAAACAUGAGUCCAGAAGACAGAUGACUUCCUGUGGGUGUGUGUACCUCCAACAGAGCCUUGAGAUAUAUUGUAGCUAAUGAGUACUUAUUAAAAAGUAUUUUGGGAGUUCCCAAUGUGACUUGGCAGGUUAAGGACCUGACAGAGUCUCCAGGAGGAUGCUGAUCCCUGGCCUCGCUCAGUGGGUUAAGGACCCAGUGUUGCUGUGAGUGCAGUAUGGUUUACAGAUGUGGCUCAGAUCUGGGGUGGCUGAGGCUGCGGCCACAGUUGGAGCUCCGAUUCAACUCCUAGCCUGGGAACUAACAUAUGCCACAGUUGCAGCCAUAAAAAAGUAUUUUGAAAAUCAUUUCCAUGAAGGUUUAUUAUUUUCUGCUCUUCUUAAAAAGCUGUAAGAAAUGUGGACUUUGUGAUCAAGGUGACCCGAUAUUUCAGAGGUAUCCCACUCAUGGAUCAAUGAUAUUUAUCUGUAGAACUUCUAAAAUAUGUCACCAGUCAUUUUCUCAGUUUCUUAGACAAUAGAUUAUUUUAAAGGACUUAUUUAGGUUUUAAAGGACAUAGCUUAUUUAUUUAGGACACCGAAUCUUUGAUCUUUCUAGUUUAUGGCAUGCCAGGAGUGAAAGAGGAGGAAACAAACCUUUGCUGAACUCGUACUUUGUGCCAAACUUUGAUCAGAGAUCUUGCUUCUGUACUUUUCCACUAUUUCACAGAAAAUGAUAUUUUCUUUUUGUUUUAAUGUUUGAGCAUUUGAGCCCCCUAAUGAAACUUGCUGCUCUUAAAGAUAUUUCUAGCUGGAUUCUUGUUUCUUUUUUUUUUCUGUCUUUUUAGGGCCGCACCCACACAGCAUAUGGAGGUUCCCAGGCUAGGGGUCUAAUUGGAGCUCUAGCUGCUGGCCUACACCACAGCAAUGCGGGAUCAGAGUCACAUCUGCAACCUACAUCACAGCUCACGGCAGUGCUGGAUCCUUAACCCACAGAGCGAGGCCAGGGAUAGAACCCGCAAUCUCAUGGUUCCUAGUCGGAUUUGUUAACCACUGGGCCACAAUGGGCACUCCCUGGAUUCUUGUUUCUAGUUGUAUCUCUCACCAGUCUCGAGAGUUACACCUAGGAGAUGUUGAUUAAUAUGUGUAAAGAAAAGGAAUUCUGCAGGUAUCACUAUAAAAACGAGUUAUAUGUAAUUAAUUAUGAAUAAAUUGAAAAACAGAGCUUCAGAUAAUGAAUCUUUUAAAAUUUAGGGUAUUAGCUAAAGUGAGCAUUUAAAAAAUUAUGGCAUUUCAUGAAGUCAUGGAUGACUCUGAGUUGAGGGCCAUGGAAAGAGCUCAGCUUAGAAAUGAGACAGAAGUGGGUUUGAUUUCCAGCUUGGCUCUUUGGCAGCGGGGUGCCUGAGUUGAAUUAAUGUUUUGGAAGGUCUGUUGGCUCAUUUUCAAAAGAGGAGUAAUAAUUACUUCAUGGGGUUGUGAGGAGAAUUAAAGAAAAUAAAGUAUGUAAAAUAUAUGGAAACAUCAAAUAUACAUGAUUUUUCCUGUUUAACAUUUUGAAAAUGUCUAUAUAGUUCACAGCUCUCUCAAGAACUCUGAUGUGGGUCUAUUACCUUGAGCUCAAAAACACUGCUAUGGUUUCUUGGGUUGUAAAGUCAUAUUAUAUAUUUCCUCCUUGACAGAUGUAGAACAUCUUUUAGUAUUUUCUAGAGGCCUGUUCCAGAGCUUGAUGUUUGUGUUUUCUUCUCC